GAUGAAGAACGUAGCGAAAUGCGAUAAGUAAUGUGAAUUGCAGAAUUCAGUGAAUCAUCGAAUCUUUGAACGCACAUUGCGCCCGCUAGUAUUCUGGCGGGCAUGCCUGUCCGAGCGUCAUUUCAACCCUCAAGCCCCCGGGCUUGGUGUUGGGGAUCGGCGAGCCUCCGCGCCCGCCGUCCCCUAAAUCUAGUGGCGGUCUCGCUGUAGCUUCCUCUGCGUAGUAGCACACCUCGCGACUGGAGAGCGGCGCGGCCACGCCGUAAAACACCCAACUCUUCUGAAGUUGACCUCGAAUCAGGUAGGAAUACCCGCUGAACUUAAGCAUAUCAAUAAGCGGAGGA
rnacentral:misc_RNA from 1 species